AUUGAAGAGUUUGAUCAUGGCUCAGGAUGAACGCUAGCGGCAGGCUUAACACAUGCAAGUCGAGGGGCAGCAUGGGAGUAGCAAUACUUCUGAUGGCGACCGGCGCACGGGUGCGUAACGCGUAUGCAACCUACCUGUAACAGGGGGAUAACACUGAGAAAUCGGUACUAAUACCGCAUAACACUAUGAGAGGCAUCUCUUGUGGUUGAAAGUUUCGGCGGUUACAGAUGGGCAUGCGUUGUAUUAGCUGGUUGGUAAGGUAACGGCUUACCAAGGCGACGAUACAUAGGGGGACUGAGAGGUUAACCCCCCACAUUGGUACUGAGACACGGACCAAACUCCUACGGGAGGCAGCAGUGAGGAAUAUUGGUCAAUGGACGGAAGUCUGAACCAGCCAUGCCGCGUGCAGGAAGACGGCUCUAUGAGUUGUAAACUGCUUUUGUACAAGGGUAAACCUGAAUACGUGUAUUCAGCUGAAAGUACUGUACGAAUAAGGAUCGGCUAACUCCGUGCCAGCAGCCGCGGUAAUACGGAGGAUCCAAGCGUUAUCCGGAUUUAUUGGGUUUAAAGGGUGCGUAGGCGGAUUGAUAAGUUAGAGGUGAAAUGUCCGAGCUCAACUCGGGAACUGCCUCUAAUACUGUUGAUCUAGAGAGUAGAUGCGGUAGGCGGAAUGUAUGGUGUAGCGGUGAAAUGCUUAGAGAUCAUACAGAACACCGAUUGCGAAGGCAGCUUACCAAUCUAUAUCUGACGUUGAGGCACGAAAGCGUGGGGAGCAAACAGGAUUAGAUACCCUGGUAGUCCACGCAGUAAACGAUGAUAGCUCGUUGUCGGCGAUACACAGUCGGUGACUAAGAGAAAUCGAUAAGCUAUCCACCUGGGGAGUACGUUCGCAAGAAUGAAACUCAAAGGAAUUGACGGGGGCCCGCACAAGCGGAGGAACAUGUGGUUUAAUUCGAUGAUACGCGAGGAACCUUACCCGGGCUUGAAGGUUAGUGACUGAUCUGGAAACAGGUCUUCCCUUCGGGGCACGAAACUAGGUGCUGCAUGGUUGUCGUCAGCUCGUGCCGUGAGGUGUCGGGUUAAGUCCCAUAACGAGCGCAACCCCUACUGAUAGUUGCCAUCAGGUCAAGCUGGGCACUCUAUCGGGACUGCCGGUGUAAGCCGGAGGAGGGUGGGGAUGACGUCAAAUCAGCACGGCCCUUACGUCCGGGGCGACACACGUGUUACAAUGGUAGGUACAGAGGGCCGCUACCCAGCGAUGGGGUGCAAAUCUCGAAAGCCUAUCUCAGUUCGGAUUGGAGGCUGAAACUCGCCUCCAUGAAGUUGGAUUCGCUAGUAAUCGCGCAUCAGCCAUGGCGCGGUGAAUACGUUCCCGGGCCUUGUACACACCGCCCGUCAAGCCAUGGGAGUUGGGGGUGCCUGAAGUUCGUGACCGCAAGGAGCGACCUAGGGCAAAACUAAUGACUGGGGCUAAGUCGUAACAAGGUAACC
rnacentral:rRNA from 1 species